rnacentral:rRNA from 1 species
UCGUUCGGAAAGCCGACCUACUCACUGCCAAUUUUCACGCACUCGCUUAUAUGUAGACCGAUCGUAGCACAACCACAACGACGUGAAUACAAGCCAGCACCCGAUUAGAUGGAAGCUAUACUAGCACCAAGAGUUGCCCCAUUGGUAGCUAGCAAGUCCAAAUUCAAAAGCACCGAACUUUAAUAUAUCCACGGUGGAUUGUGUAGCCUAUCAUACAACAAGGCGCAAUUUGUGCACACGCUUGCGCGCGAUUUUCAUUUUGCCAGUCAGUAUUUGCCCAUAGGUCACUUGGCAACAGAUCCAGCAGCACACUGAGGACAAGUCCACAGCACACUACUACUAACCUGACCAAACAAACCGUUCGCUAAACUUAGAUGCUUGCGCAUCCAAGAUCAACUGGUUCCAUGGACAAUUGUCUAACUGGUUGCAGUGUACGCUUACAUUGGCUUGGCACGAGAAUACGCCAGCAACCCGAAGGUUGCAAGCUGAACCCGACCUAGCUCGACGAAACGACUUCGUGGCUCCGAUUCGUUUGCCAAUUAACGGUUCACGCCCUUUUAACUCUCUCUGCAAAGUUCUAUUU